GAACUUUCCAGAGAUGGAUUGGUGCCUUCGGGAACCGUGAGACAGGUGCUGCAUGGCUGUCGUCAGCUCGUGUUGUGAAAUGUUGGGUUAAGUCCCGCAACGAGCGCAACCCUUAUCCUUUGUUGCCAGCGGUCCGGCCGGGAACUCAAAGGAGACUGCCAGUGAUAAACUGGAGGAAGGUGGGGAUGACGUCAAGUCAUCAUGGCCCUUACGACCAGGGCUACACACGUGCUACAAUGGCGCAUACAAAGAGAAGCGACCUCGCGAGAGCAAGCGGACCUCAUAAAGUGCGUCGUAGUCCGGAUUGGAGUCUGCAACUCGACUCCAUGAAGUCGGAAUCGCUAGUAAUCGUGGAUCAGAAUGCCACGGUGAAUACGUUCCCGGGCCUUGUACACACCGCCCGUCACACCAUGGGAGUGGGUUGCAAAAGAAGUAGGUAGCUUAACCUUCGGGAGGGCGCUUACCACUUUGUGAUUCAUGACUGGGGUGAAGUCGUAACAAGGUAACCGUAGGGGAACCUGC
rnacentral:rRNA from 1 species